rnacentral:misc_RNA from 1 species
UCUCCGUAGGUGAACCAGCGGAGGGAUCAUUACCAAGUUUACAACUCCCAAACCCAAUGUGAACCAUACCAAACUGUUGCCUCGGCGGGGUCACGCCCCGGGUGCGUCGCAGCCCCGGAACCAGGUGCCCGUCGGAGGGACCAACCAAAAUCUAUCCGUAGUCCCCUCGCGGACGUUAUUUUUACAGCUCUGAGCAAAAAUUCAAAAUGAAUCAAAACUUUCAACAACGGAUCUCUUGGUUCUG